AUGAAUACCGGUUAAUCUUGUGCCAGCAGCAGCGGUAAAGCAAGUUGUGUGAACGUUCUAUAGGUUGAUUAGGUGUAAAGAGUGAUUUAGAAUGUGAAUGUUGAGAAUUUAUUAUCAGUGUGAUUGUGCUAGCUUCAGGGAUUCUAGAUUUGAUGUGGUGUAGAAAUGUUAAUGGAAAGAGUGAAAUGUAGAUAUAAUUGGUAUUAAAUUUAUUUGAUAUUGGUAGCUUUCAAAGGUAGAUAUUCUAUUCACUAUUCCUUGAGGUGUGACAGGGAUUAGAUACCCCAUUAAUUCAAGUGAUAAAUUAUGGCUUAUUGUAGAUUGGAUCUAUUUUUAACAAAUCAAGGUUCUUAACCUAAGGAGUACGCUUUCACUUGUGAAACUUAAAUGUUCUGGUGGUGGUUUCGAACAAUAGUGGAAUAGAUGAUUUAAUUCGAUGUUAUGCGAUAAAGCUUAUCAGUUAUCUGAAAGAAUACCUAGGUAUAGGUAGAAUUCUAUUUUAGGUAGUGCAUGGCUGUUGGAGGGGAAUGUUUUGUAAUCUCUGGUUUCGGACAGGAAUAGGCUCAACACUUUUAGAGUUCUGAAGGUUAGAUAGAAUAACGUCGAGUCAUUAUGCUCUUUUGUUCAGAGAUAUUCAUGUGUUACAAGGAGAGCUAUAUAGCUACUUAUUUUUGAGUGUUACAAAUAUUAUCAUCCUAAUUGAAAAUUGAAAUGUUUUUAUAAAGGAGGAAUUAUUAGGAAUCUUUGGUUAGUUAUUUAAAGGUGGACAGGAGAUAAAUUUUGCACAUACCGCCCGUCAAGCAAAAAGCAGAGAUAUAGAUGAAAACAGCAAAGCACACAAGUGUAAAAUUUAUAAUACAUUUGUGUUAAGUCGAAACAUGGUUGCUCAUCAGGAAUGAUGAGCUGGA
rnacentral:rRNA from 1 species